AGAGUUUGAUCCUGGCUCAGGAUGAACGCUGGCGGCGCGCCUAACACAUGCAAGUCGAACGGUUAAGGCCCCCUUUAGGGGGCGCAUAGAGUGGCGAACGGGUGAGUAACACGUGACCAACCCGCCCCCCCCACCGGGACAACCUCGGGAAACCGAGGCUAAUACCGGAUACGCCGGGGCCCCCGCAUGGGGGCUCCGGGAAAGCCUUGGCGGGAGGGGACGGGGUCGCGGCCCAUCAGGUAGACGGCGGGGCGAAGGCCCGCCGUGCCGACGACGGGUAGCCGGGCUGAGAGGCCGAUCGGCCACAUUGGGACUGAGACACGGCCCAGACUCCUACGGGAGGCAGCAGUGGGGAAUAUUGCGCAAUGGGGGAAACCCUGACGCAGCGACGCCGCGUGCGGGAAGGAGGCCUUCGGGUCGUAAACCGCUUUCAGCAGGGACGAGGCCGCGAGGUGACGGUACCUGCAGAAGAAGCCCCGGCUAACUACGUGCCAGCAGCCGCGGUAAUACGUAGGGGGCGAGCGUUAUCCGGAUUCAUUGGGCGUAAAGCGCGCGCAGGCGGCCUGCUCGGUCGGGAGUCAAAUCCGGGGGCUCAACCCCCGCCCGCUCCCGAUACCGGCGGGCUUGAGUCUGGUAGGGGAAGGCGGAAUUCCCAGUGUAGCGGUGGAAUGCGCAGAUAUUGGGAAGAACACCGGUGGCGAAGGCGGCCUUCUGGGCCACGACUGACGCUGAGGCGCGAAAGCUAGGGGAGCGAACAGGAUUAGAUACCCUGGUAGUCCUAGCCGUAAACGAUGGACACUAGGUGUGGGGGGAGGAUCCCUCCGUGCCGCAGCCAACGCAUUAAGUGUCCCGCCUGGGGAGUACGGCCGCAAGGCUAAAACUCAAAGGAAUUGACGGGGGCCCGCACAAGCAGCGGAGCAUGUGG
rnacentral:rRNA from 1 species